UUUAAAUAUAUAUUUGAGCCCAAUUUUGUUUAGUAAAGGAUCUCUUAUAAUUUAUUAGACCAACAAUUUUACUGGUUUUUUUUAAAAAAAUAAAUUCUUAAUAUUUAUAUUUAUAUUAUAAAGUUAUAUUAUUUCUAAAUUUCAAGUAGGCCCUUAUAUUGGUUAUUUGAAUGUUAUCUGACUAGGUGCGGCGCGACUAGAACGUGGACUGUGAUUUUGAAUUACUGAAGUUAAAUUUGCAAGUCAAGUUAAGGUAACUGAUGUUGGAGACGCGUGGAGGGUCGAAUGGGCGCGUCAAGUCUUUUUGAGUCAAAAGAAAUUAUCUUCUUUUGAACUUUGUACAAUAUCAGAUACUUUUGUUUUAGUAAUAACGUUGGAUUUUCAAACUGUUUUUCCAGGUCAUGUUUGACUUUGUACGUUAUAAUAUCGUUGUGUUAUGUAUAUAUUAGGGUUUGAUAUUUUGAAGUUAUCAAAAAUUAUUGAUUAUACGA